GUGGAAUCACACUAAUUUAGAUUUGGUUGUUACCAGUGCUGGAGACAACAAGAAGAUGUCACUAUGGCGAAAAAACGGACAGAGUAUGGGGACUAUUCCUUUGGCUGGCAACGAUGUUGUAGAUAACAUUGAGGGUGAAGAAACAAAGGUUUCAGUCUUUGAUGAUUGUCCGUCGUCUCCUAAAACACCUCUACAGGCCAUGGGAACAGGGCAAAAAUAACAACAAAUUCAACCGAGGGGACAAUGAAGCAAUGUUCAAUGAAGUUAUUUCAAUGAAGAUGAUCUCUUGGUACCGAUGGAUGAAUACAAGUCAGAAGUUUUCAGAAGAGCCAUUGAAGAUAUGGCUUUCAGAAGUUUGCGUUCACAUGCUGAGGAGGAACUGUCUACUUGGAAAAUACCUGAUGACGACCUUGUAUUGCUGACUAUUAUUGGCCUGAAGGAUCCUUGUCGACCUGGUGUCAGAGAAGCUGUUCAACUAUGUACAAAUGCUGGAGUUAAGAUAUUCAAUGAGGUGAAUGCAAGGAAGCCAGAUGAGAUGAACGUAUUUAAGGGAGUGACUAAGAAUCGUCUCUUCAUGUUGAUAGUUGGACUAACUAUUGUGCUCCAGGUGAUUAAAAUAUUCUUCCUUGGGAAGUUCUUUUCAAUUGUUAGGCUUAACUGGAAAUUGUGGCUUGUAUCUGUUGCAAUUGGAUUUGUGAGUUGGCCACUUGCAAUAGUUGGGAAAAUGAUCCUAGUUUCAGAGACACCAUUCAGUGACUUGUCAAGAUUAUUCAAGAGUAUAUGUCCUAGGAAGAAGAAUACAAAUGUAGUACCAUCACCAGAUAUCCAGACAGAAAUGGAGGAAACAAAUUUGCACAGUGAGAGGAUAUAUAUUUAGAUUCCAAUAAUUGAAGAUCAAUGCAUUUUCCUUUUAGCGGUUUAAUUGUGAAGAAUGAAUGAUUUAGGUGUUAUAUGCUCGUCUUCAUCCUUGAGCUGUCAAUUGCAUGAAGAAGCAACUAACUGUGGUUCAAGAAGAAUCUGAUGUCAAGAAGAAAAUUAAGUGGAUAAAAACUAUGUUCUUUAUUGAAUAAAAUUAUUUUUUUGUUUGAAAUAUUUUAUUGUAGUGAA